GAAUGAUUCAGUUUUUAAUACUGAGGACAAAUUGGUUUAAAUCUUUUUAAUAUAUUAUGGCACAUGAGUUAAAAUCAUGCUUGUAGUAUGUUGUAAACUAGCUGUGGAGUGAAUAAAAUAGUGCAAAUUAGCAAAUUGUAAUGCCAUUAUACUGUAUACUGUACAAUUUAUAUCACAUAAUUUAAAUUGUCAUUUAAUAUACUGUACAUUAAUAUAAUAAAAAAAACAUGUUCUCUUAUAAAUUAUGGAGAAUUGUUUGUGAACGUUUGCACAAGGAAUUCAAAGCCCUUUGCACAACCAUUAAUAAUAACAUCAGGGGCAGUGGCGUAACUUCUAAGGGACUAAGGCCCAUGCCCGUCAAGACCCGGCCAGGGUGUCAGCUAGGAAUCGGAUUCCCUUGUGAUAGGAACCGGGUGCUAAGAUCCAAUAAUUUUUGCGUGAUUUUGAGGAAAGUAACGAAUUUCCAACUAUAAUUAUAAAGUUUAAGUUGUGAGUGCCCACCCCCUACCUUCUCGCUGACGCUCUUUAGGUCAAGGGGAGCACUUUUCAGUUCAAGAGGGGCCUGGACCUCUUAACACAAAGUCAUGGCAUGGACCUGCAGGGGAUAACAGAUCGUUAAUGUAUGGGUUUCAGUAAGCAUCGUCGUGCAGCAGAGGGUGGUUAACUGGCAGUUUAAUGAGUAACGGAAAUGACUAUUAUUUUCCUUAUACUGUUUGUAGUAGUCCGUUUUGCUGUUUUGAUGUGGGCAAAUAAAUAGAAAUAUAGGUUUAUGUUAAAUUUUUUGCUCUUAAAGUUACCACUUGUGAAGUUUACCACAAUCCAUCCCCUGCUUCGCUUAAUGAAAUCCAAUAGCGUCUUGAUCAGUCAACCAGUGUGAUUACAACCCAAUGCACUUCUUAUUUAUUUCAAUAUUACAUGUGCAAUGGUGAAGUAA